AUUGAACGCUGGCGGCAUGCCUAACACAUGCAAGUCGAGCGGAUGAAGGGAGCUUGCUCCUGGAUUAAGCGGCGGACGGGUGAGUAAUGCCUAGGAAUCUGCCUGGUAGUGGGGGAUGACGUCCGGACACGGGCGCUAAUACCGCAUACGUCCUGAGGGUGAACGUGGGGGAUCUUCGGACCUCACGCUAUCAGAUGAGCCUAGGUCGGAUUAGCUAGUUGGUGGGGUAAAGGCCUACGAAGGCGACGAUCCGUAACUGGGCUGAGAGGAUGAUCAGUCACACUGGAACUGAGACACGGUCCAGAUUCCUACGGGAGGCAGCAGUGGGGAAUAUUCGACAAUGGGCGAAAGCCUGAUCCAGCCAUGCCGCGUGUGUGAAGAAGGUCUUCGGAUUGUAAAGCACUUUAAGUUGGGAGGAAGGGCAGUAAGUUAAUACCUUGCUGUUUUGACGUUACCAACAGAAUAAGCACCGGCUAACUUCGUG
rnacentral:rRNA from 1 species